rnacentral:rRNA from 1 species
UACGGGGGGGGCAAGCGUUGUUCGGAAUUACUGGGCGUAAAGCGCGCGUAGGCGGUUUGUUAAGUCAGCUGUGAAAGCCCCGGGCUCAACCUGGGAACUGCAGUUGAUACUGGCCGACUAGAGUACGAGAGAGGGAGGUAGAAUUCCAUGUGUAGCGGUGAAAUGCGUAGAUAUAUGGAGGAAUACCGGUGGCGAAGGCGGCCUCCUGGCUCGAUACUGACGCUGAGGUGCGAAAGCGUGGGGAUCAAACAGG